CGGUCCGCUCACGCCCAGGACACGCCCCCAAUGGGGCCACACCCAUUGGUCUGGCUCCGCCCCUGGGCCGUGCCAGGGCCGUCCCCCUCGUGCAUUGGGCACCUCCCCGGGUUUUAAAGAGAUACUCUGUGUGCAGAAGGUCCAGGCCUGCUCGGUGCUUCGGGAGACCACAACAUCAUCCUGACAUUGACUUUUGAAUUCCUAACCCAGAAAUGGGCCUCAUCUGUGUAAGAACAGUGUGAUAGCCUUCGGAGGAACAGAGAACAGAUUACAGAGGAAUAAGGGUCGGGGAUGGCGCAGGCACUAAACAAACUGUAGCUGUUUUCCUUCCUCUGCCUUCCUUCUCUACUUGAGGAGAUGAUUGACAUGUGGACCAGCAAAAUGAAUGGAAAAGAACUGCCCUAAAGGAGGACAUCACUGUGCAAUUGGACAGGGCCCUGAAAGGAGCAGAAAGGCCAAGAAGGGGGCAGGCUCAUGCGUAUGCGUACUCCCUGCUCCUGGAACAGCCAUGGUUUCCGUUGUGGCGCCUGGGAAAUCCAGCUCUUCAGUCUUUGAAGGCGGACUUGCACCAGCUGCUCAUCACGGUCUUUCCAGUCCUGGGACGGAGGCUGCAUCGUUGGUCCUCCCUUCUAAGGCAGUGGUUUUUAACUUCUCAUGCUCUGACCCUUUCCCCUCGUGUUGUGGUGACCCCCCAGCCAUAAAAUUAUUUUCGUUGCUACAUCCUAACUGUAAUUUUGCUACUGUUAUGAAUUGUAAUGUAAAUAUCUGUUAUGCAGGGUAUCUGAUAUGUGACCCCAAAGGGGUCAAGACCCACAGGUUGAGAACCACUGUUCUAAGCUUUUCAGUCUAAGCAACUGUUGGUUUCCCUGGCUUUCCAGCCUGCAGACAACCAUUGUAGGAUUUCUCAACCUCUGAUUCUAUAGUCAGUCUACUAAUUUCUGCCUAUAAUUAUGUGUGUGUGUGCGUGCAUGUGUACAUGUAUAUACACAUGUAUGUAUGUGGGCAUGUGUAUGCAUAUUUGUAUAUUAAAUGUACACAUAAAUAGAUGGUAGACAGAUAAAAUUAAUUCUAUUUUAGAGAAACUUGUCUAAGUCCAUAGGGCUUUGCCAGUAACUCUUUUUAUUUUUUAUUUUUGGUUGUUUGUUUGUUUUUCAAGACAGGGUUUCUCUGUAGCUUUGGAGCCUGUCCUGGAACCAGCUCUUGUAGACCAGGCUGGUCUCGAACUCCCAGAGAUCCACUUGCCUCUGCCUCCUGAAUGCUGGGAUUAAAGGCGUGCGCCACCACCGCCCGGCUGCAUUCCCAUCAUUUUCCCCACACAACCGCAUGUUUUUAUUUCUCUGUGGAAGAUGGCUGUAUUCUUUUAAGGAGUCUGCUCUUGUCAUUUUAAUCACUUAAACCAGCAGUUCUCAAAUUAUCUGGAUCGACAAAUGGCUUGCUUUCUUAAAACAAGCUGAGAAUAGCACGGGCACUUUUUGCUUGUGCGGUUUAUGGCUCUCCAUGCUUUCCGCGUGUGCUAACACUCUUUCAGGGGCUGUGAGAAAAGGCCUGUGAUGAUUAGCCGCAAAAGAGAACAGUUUUAUUUAGGUUCAUAAUUUCAGAAAUUUGAACCCAUAGUAAUUUGUCCUUGAGCCUGUAGUGAGACAGAACAUGGUGGCCAAGACAUGUGUCAGAGGAAACCUGUGCCACUCACGCGUGGUGGCCUGACAGCAGAAAGAGAGGAAGGGGUGGGUAUUCCAGCGUCUCCCUUAAGAGUGUCCUCAGUGACCAAACUUCCUCUCAGGAGGCCUCACUUCUACUCAGAACACUUUGACACUAACAACCAAUUAUCUGACCAUCCAGACACCAACAACUGUGAUGUUCUACACUUGGGUUCAAUUCUAACACUACUCCCUGGAGUUAGUGCAGAUUCCCCAAAUUUAGGGCUUGGUCCCCUGAGACCUACCCCCUCAUUCAGAGACAAUUUCAAAUCUCUAAUAUUUUUACCUCUUGAGUACAAAUGGGGUGUUCUCCUUGUCUCUUAGGGUUUGAAAACUGGUGAGAAACGGUUUGUGGAAUGCAGAGGGGACUCUCUACAUUGCUUCUUGACUUAAUACAAAGAGGACAACAAGGGGUAGAGAGUAACAUCCAGGUGAGGGUGGGCGGAGGGCUAGGCCUGCCACGGUCCUGGGCCCAAGGGUCUCUGCCCCGGUACCCUGUUCCUGACACAUGAAUGCUUUUGCCAGCCUGGAAACUCUCUGGAUUGUGCAGGUUAAGGAUUUUUUUUUUCUCCUAGUGCCAAGGAUUCAGUAACCUCUCACACACUAAGAUGUGACACACUAAGAUGUCACACGCUAGUCAGGGCUUUCUGAAGGCAGACUGGGUUUUCAUGAAGGCUUCAUCCCAUAGGCCUCAUUGGUUAAUCCCAUCUCCAGCUCCUCCCCCUCUCUGGAUGAGCCAGGGACAAAAGUCCCAACCCCAAACCAUGGUGCAGUCAGACUGCAGCGGCCCACCACAUGGAUGCAGCAUCCAUAGCUCCUGCUUCAAGUUACUCCCUCAGUUCCUGCCAUGACUUUCCUCAGUGAUGGACCACGGUCUGUAAGCAUGAGGCAAAUGAACCCUUUCUUUCCCUAAGUUGCUUUCUUCAGGGUGUACUGUGGGACAAUGCUUUUACCCUGUAAAGAUUUGUUUCUUGUAUUUGUUCAAUAAAAUGCCGAGUGGCCAGUAGCCAGGCAGGAAGUAGAGGCGGGGCAAUGAGAACAGGGGAAUUCUGGGAAGAGGAAAGAUUCAGUCUGCAGUUGUCACCCUGCUGCAGAGGAAGCAAGAUGAGAAUCUGUAGCUGACAAAGGUACCAAGCCACAUGGCUAACACAGACAAGAAUAAUGGGUUAAUGUAAGAUGUAAGAAUUAGUUAAUAAGAAGCCUGAGCCAAUAGGCCAACCAGUUUAUAAUUAAUGUAGGCCUCUUGUGUGUUGCUUUGGAACUGAACAACUGUGGGACUGGACAGGAUAGAAACCCCCAGUUAACGACAAACUGGAAACUAGAUCAAAACAACAGAAAGGAAACUAGAACACCGGGGAACAGAAAGGAAACUGGACAAAACCGAGCCCUCGCCAGUGUGAAGGAUGCAAAUAGUCAAGAUACAUAGGCAGUAAGGGAAGAUCUGUGACAUCACCAUGGCUCCAGGCUCUGCCUUCCCUUAUUAAAGGUCUAGUCUGUAGCUCAAGGGAAUACAGCAGGUGGCUAAUGAGUGUCGUCUGUUGCCUCACAGAGUGAGGGGAAUUUAGGUUGCAAAGCUUCUCUACAGGACACACCGAGAGUGGCAUAGCCAGCGCAAUCAUCUCUGGGCACAAAUCUGUAGACCCCGGGAGUGCCCAUCACGGCCAUGCUGAAAGAAUUCCAUCUCUCCCCCACCGCUGCCAAUGUCCACAACUGUCAGGCUUACAAGGGGUUGACGCAACUGUGUCAUAAGCCAUUGGGUUCCGUUCUUUCUUCCCCAUUUUCCAAGGAAGCUAGUUCCAUUUUAAUAUAGUUUUAAGUCUAGAUAAAACUCUUACUAUAACUAAGGGGUUUUACAGACUCAACAACGGCAGGGUAGUUGAUGUCAGCCAGCUCCUCCCACAGACAAGAGUGAUCAACUCGGGACAAAAUAUGUCAAAAACAUAACAUUUCAAACAGCAUAUAGCAACCCAAAAUAGGCAGAAACAGGAAAGUAUCCAGCUCCAGAGGAAGGAAAUUUAAUUUUUCAGGGUCCUUUUUUACAGCUCUCCCCAGGGAGCAGACCGUCUGGGACAGAUUGUGGGUGCUGGAGCUAAUGCUGGUCACAGCCAACAUGUUCCACAGCUGUAGCUGGAGGCUGCCAGAGUGUCUGGACAAUAAGAGAGGCAGGGCUGAAAAGAAGGCAACCACAGAGGGAGGAUGCCUCAGGUCUGCACGUAAUUCCCCCUUGGAUCCCCAUUACGGAUCACUACAUGACAAACAGGACGAUGAUAAGAGAGAGGGGGGUCGUUGGGAAGACAGAACCAUUCUAUGGUUCGUGGACCAAA